AUAGGUCACCGUCAUCGCCUCUCCGUGGCGUACCAUCAUCGCCGGUCGGGACUCAUGUAGAGGAACAACACCUCCUUUACAAUCCUAAACAAACUUCCGGGAUGUCACCGCUUCAAAAACCCAGUAUUAGUGGCUUUGGUUUGGGCCACACUACCCCAACAUGCCCCUCUUCCUGUCGAAAUUUGUCGAGGAGUUGCAGUCGAUGACGGUAGAGUGGACACACAAUCAAGAAGUGAUCACAUCGAGUGUGUACGCAACAUGCUGUUGUGUGGACAGUCCUGCACGUGCUGCCGUUAAAACACUGUGCUCUUCAAUGGAUAUUUCGGUUGUCCAUGGUGCUUUGCACCAGGUGGUCAUGACGGCAAUCUGGUAUUCCAUUUACACUUCGAAUUUGAAGGCACCAUUCGCUAUGCAUACCGGCAAAAUGAAGAAGAGAGGACAUCAGAUCUUGUUGCCGGGGAUAUGCGUUUAACCCUUGAAUGUGACUGUGUUGUGAAUGGCAUCAAGGGACCAGCACCUGUUAUGACCUUGGAGAACUUUGACCUUGUCUGGAGCUUCAGCGUAGAGUACAUGCAUGCUGUGCUCCUCGGGGUGACCCGACAGAUGACAGAGUGCUGGCUUGACAGUACAAACUCAGAGGAGCGGCACUACAUAGGGUGCCCAGCUACACUGUCCCAGGUUGACCACCGCCUUCGAAGCAUAAAGCCACCAGAGUGUGUCACCCGCCUUGCUCGUUCACUUAGAGACAGAAGGUUUUGGAAGGCCAGUGAAUGGCGCAUGUGGCUACUGUACUAUAGCCUGCCUUGCUUACGCGGUAUUAUUCUGCAUGUGUACUGGGCCCACUUCAGAAACCUCGUGGAGGCCGUAUACAUAUUACUGUCAUGUGACCUCACUGAUGCACUACUUCGUCGUUCUGGUAGAUAACAUUUCAUAACUUUAUAGGAGCUUUUACAUUAAACACUUGGU